rnacentral:rRNA from 1 species
AGGGAGAAGCCCAGCACCGAAGCGCCCGUCCCAACGGGGCGGGAGGGCAAUGUGGUGUUUAGGAAUAGCGCGACCGAAGGUUGAUCUAAGCGCAAGUCCUCCUGACUGGGGCUCUCGCCCAUAGAGGGUGCAAGGCCCAUAGUCGCUUAUGAUCUCCGGCGGAAGCAAAAUUCCUUGGAGUCGGGUUGCUUGAGAGUGCAGCCCUAAGUGGGUGGUAAACUCCAUCUAAGGCUAAAUACGACCACGAAACCGAUAGCGAACAAGUACCGUGAGGGAAAGUUGAAAAGAACUUUGAAGAGAGAGUUCAAGAGUGCGUGAAACCGUUUAGAGGUAAACGGGUGGGCCCUCGAAGGUGAUCGUCGGAGGGAUUCAGUCGGACGUGACCGUAAGCGUCGUUCGUCUCUAACGGUGCGGACCUCGGUCGGCCGGGCGGGCGAAGGCUGCGGGCCGUUUGGCGCAUUUCCUUCCGUUCGAACUACGCUGCGACCAGUCUGGUCACUGAAAGUUGUCGUCCUUGAAAACGGGCGAUGGAAGGUGGCCGGCGGCGUCCCUCGGGAUGCCGUCGGUGUUUAUAGCCGGUUCGUUUCACGAGUGAGCGUUCAUCAGACUGGGGACGAUUCUAGCCCUGUGCGGGCUACGCCGAGCACUCCGUUCCACGGAGCGUUGCGGGGUGACUGGAUGCGCCUGCGGUCGGGAGUUUCACCUUUGCGUGGGCUACCGCCGUAGGUCUCCGUAAGCUCAUUCCGUACUCGCCGUUGCGGGCCCGUCCCGGUCGCCUCGUCGACGGGGCGGAGCAAGAGCGUACACGUUGGGACCCGAAAGAUGGUGAACUAUGCCUGGGCAGGACGAAGCCAGAGGAAACUCUGGUGGAGGUCCGCAGCGAUUCUGACGUGCAAAUCGAUCGUCAGACCUGGGUAUAGGGGCGAAAGACUAAUCGAACCAUCUAGUAGCUGGUUCCCUCCGAAGUUUCCCUCAGGAUAGCUGGCGCUCGGAGGAUGCAGUCUCAUCCGGUAAAGCGAAUGAUUAGAGGCCUUGGGGUCGAAAAGACCUCAACCUAUUCUCAAACUUUAAAUGGGUGAGAAGUCCGGUUUGCUCGACUGAAGCCCGGACGGCAACUUGGAUGCGAGUGGUGGGAUGAACCAAACGCCGGGUUAAGGGGCCCGAUGCGAGACGCUCAUGAGAUCCCAUGAAAGGUGUUGGUUGCUAUAGACAGCAGGACGGUGGCCAUGGAAGUCGGAAUCCGCUAAGGAGUGUGUAACAACUCACCUGCCGAAGCAACUAGCCCUGAAAAUGGAUGGCGCUUCAGCGUCGACCCCAUACCCGGCCGCCGCGGCCGAAAAGCCUCGUGUUUUAAGCCGCGGUGAGUAGGAGGGGCGCGGAGGCGAGCGUCGAAGGUGCCGGGCGUAAGCCCGCCUGGAGCCGCCUCCGGCGCAGAUCUUGGUGGUAGUAGCAAAUACUCAAGUGAGAACCUUGAGGACUGAGGUGGAGAAGGGUUCCAUGUGAACAGCAGUUGAACAUGGGUCAGUCGGUCCUAAGGGAUAGGAGAAAUCCGUUCCGAGGCGGGACCUCUUAUUACGAAAGUCCCGCUGAUGACCGAAAGGGAAUCGGGUUAAUAUUCCCGAACCCGGACGCGGAGAUCGUCCUCUUCGGAGGUACAUUGCGGUAACGCAAACGAGCUCGGAGACGUCGACGGGAGCACCGGGAAGAGUUAUCUUUUCUUUGUAAGGAUUCGACUCCCUGGAAUCGGCUCGCCCGGAGAUAGGGAUGGUGUUUCCGUAAAGCACCGCGCGUCUUGCGGUGUCCGGAUCGCUCCCGUCGGCCCUUGAAAU